UCACUAUCUGUAUAGCCAACUACCUUUCCCUCCAUGCCACUUUUGAACCAGAUUCCAAGAUUAAUGGUUCCUUUCACAUACCUGAGAACCCUUUUUGCAGCUUUGAAGUGAUUUUGGCUUGGUUCAUGCAUGAAUCUUGAUAAUAAGCUUGUUGCAUACAUGAUAUCAGGUCUGGAUGCAGUGAGAUACAAUAAACAACCAAUCACACUUCUGUAAAUUCCAGAAUCUAUCUUCUCAAAACUAUCUCCUUUGCUCAAUUUUUCAUUUUGAG
rnacentral:misc_RNA from 1 species